UCGACAUGUGACUUCCCAUAACUUGUUUCACUCAAAUAACUUGUUUCAGUCAAACAUAACAGGGGCGAUCUCCUUUAAAUUCUUACCAUUGUCUCUUCUCUUUUGGAUGGAUGUUGGAUAGGGGCCACAGAGAGAAGGUGGAAAAAUGGGCACUCUACCCAGACAGCCUCCCUCUGCACAGCUAAGUAAACCAUCAUUGUCAGGAAUGUGGGCACACUCCGGUUUGUGCCAGGCUGUGUGUGCGCUCCCUGCGAAAGCAUUUCCUGCAGCAAAACAAAAAAUAAGGAAACCAGAAAACAUAGAAAAACCCACCAAUUUAUAGAUAGCACAAGAAACACCUAGCUCAUUCUAUUGUGCAUUGCAAGAGUUGUUUACUUUAAAAUGAGUAAUGAUGAGGCUGUUUUUGAAAAACAGCAUUCAAGGCUGAUAUUUAACUCCUCCCCAUGAGUGUCUGAAAGAGGCAAUUCAGACU